UACGGAGGGAGCUAGCGUUAUUCGGAAUUACUGGGCGUAAAGCGCACGUAGGCGGCUUUGUAAGUAAGAGGUGAAAGCCCGGAGCUCAACUCCGGAACUGCCUUUUAGACUGCAUCGCUUGAAUCCAGGAGAGGUGAGUGGAAUUCCGAGUGUAGAGGUGAAAUGCGUAGAUAUCGGAAGGAACACCAGUGGCGAAAGCGGCUUCCUGGUCCAGCACCGACGUUCAGGCACGAAAGCGUGGGGAGCAAACAGG
rnacentral:rRNA from 1 species